CCUACGGGUGGCAGCAGUGGGGGAUAUUGGACAAUGGGGGAAACCCUGAUCCAGCGACGCCGCGUGAGUGAAGAAGGAUUGCGGGAUGUAAAGCUCUAUCAGCAGGGAAGAAAGAAAUGACGGGACCGGAGUAAGAAGCCACGGCUAACUACGGGCCAGCAGCCGCGGGAAUACGGAGGGGGCAAGCGUUAGCCGGAAUUACGGGGUGUAAAGGGAGAGUAGACGGGAAUGCAAGUCUGGAGUGAAAGGCGGGGGACCAACCCCCGGACUGCUCUGGAAACUGUGUAACGGGAGUGCAGGAGAGGCAGGCGGAAUUCCUAGUGUAGCGGUGAAAUGCGUAGAUAUUAGGAGGAACACCAGUGGCGAAGGCGGCCUGCUGGACUGUAACUGACGUUGAGGCUCGAAAGCGUGGGGAGCAAACAGGAUUAGAUACCCCAGUAGUC
rnacentral:rRNA from 1 species